rnacentral:rRNA from 1 species
CAGCACCUCAAGUGGUCAGGAUGAUUAUUGGGCCUAAAGCAUCCGUAGCCGGCGCUGUAAGUUUUCGGUUAAAUCUGUACGCUCAACGUACAGGCUGCCGGGAAUACUGCAGCGCUAGGGAGUGGGAGAGGUAGACGGUACUCGGUAGGAAGGGGUAAAAUCCUUUGAUCUAUUGAUGACCACCUGUGGCGAAGGCGGUCUACCAGAACACGUCCGACGGUGAGGGAUGAAAGCUGGGGGAGCAAACCAGAUUAGAGACCCGAGUAGUCC